rnacentral:rRNA from 1 species
CCUUAGAUGUUCUGGGCUGCACGCGCGUUACACUGACGGAGCCAGCGAGUACUUCCUUGACCGAGAGGUCCGGGUAAUCUUGUUAAACUCCGUCGUGCUGGGGAUAGAGCAUUGCAAUUAUUGCUCUUCAACGAGGAAUCCCUAGUAAGCGCAAGUCAUCAGCUUGCGUUGAUUACGUCCCUGCCCUUUGUACACACCGCCCGUCGCUACUACCGAUUGAAUGGCUCAGUGAGGCGUUCGGACUGGCCCAGAGAGGUGGGCAACUACCACUCAGGGCCGGAAAGUUCUACAAACUCGGUCAUUUAGAGGAAGUAAAAGUCGUAACAAGGUCUCCGUUGGUGAACCAGCGGAGGGAUCAUUA